AAAAAAGGGUUGGGGAUUUUAGUUGGAAAUCCUUAGAGCAAAUACCUAGAGCAUUUUACGCAAAGAUAGUAUAAUACAUACUGAAUAUAUAUAAAAGAAUCAGAAGGGAACUGAUUUUGUUUGAGUUUGAUAGUCUAUUUGGAUUUCUUGAUCGCUGCUCGAGUCAGAAUUUUGUUGUGGUUGUUGAAGGCGAUUUCUCAGCUCGUU
rnacentral:misc_RNA from 1 species